rnacentral:rRNA from 1 species
GAAUAAGCACCGGCUAACUCCGUGCCAGCAGCCGCGGUAAUACGGAGGGUGCAAGCGUUACUCGGAAUCACUGGGCGUAAAGGACGCGUAGGCGGAUUAUCAAGUCUCUUGUGAAAUCUAACGGCUUAACCGUUAAACUGCUUGGGAAACUGAUAAUCUAGAGUAAGGGAGAGGCAGAUGGAAUUCUUGGUGUAGGGGUAAAAUCCGUAGAUAUCAAGAAGAAUACCUAUUGCGAAGGCGAUCUGCUGGAACUUAACUGACGCUAAUGCGUGAAAGCGUGGGGAGCAAACAGGAUUAGAUACCCUGGUAGUCCACGCCCUAAACGAUGUAUACCGGUUGUUGCUGUGCUAGUCACGGCAGUAAUCCACCUAACGGAUUAAGUAUACCGCCUGGGGAGUACGGUCGCAAGAUUAAAACUCAAAGGAAUAGACGGGGACCCGCACAAGCGGUGGAGCAUGUGGUUUAAUUCGAAGAUACGCGAAGAACCUUACCCGGACUUGAUAUCUAACAAAUCAUCCAGAGAUGGAAGAGUGUCUGCUUGCAGAAAUGUUAAGACAGGUGCUGCACGGCUGUCGUCAGCUCGUGUCGUGAGAUGUUGGGUUAAGUCCCGCAACGAGCGCAACCCACGUCAUUAGUUGCUAACGGUUCGGCCGAGCACUCUAAUGAGACUGCCUUCGUAAGGAGGAGGAAGGUGUGGACGACGUCAAGUCAUCAUGGCCCUUAUGUCCGGGGCGACACACGUGCUACAAUGGCAUAUACAAUAAGACGCAAUAUCGUAAGAUGGAGCAAAUCUAAAAAAUAUGUCCCAGUUCGGAUUGGAGUCUGCAACUCGACUCCAUGAAGCCGGAAUCGCUAGUAAUCGUAGAUCAGCCAUGCUACGGUGAAUACGUUCCCGGGUCUUGUACUCACCGCCCGUCACACCAUGGGAGUUGAUUUCACUCGAAGCGGGAAUGCGAAAUUCGCUACCCUCCACAGUGGAAUCAGCGACUGGGGUGAAGUCGUAACAAGGUAACCGUAGGAGAACCUGCGGUUG